rnacentral:lncRNA from 1 species
CAUAGUUCCCUUAGAAAUAUUGUUAUAAAAGGAAUAAAACAAGACUGCUAAACUAAUCUGGCAUUUUGCUGAUUUCUAGGGCUGCUUCAAUUGAACUUGCAGGAAUGACAGGUGUCCCUUUCUUUCCUCACUGUUUAGGGGCUGUCUCAUAAAAUUGGAUGUUUGAUGGAUGAAGACUUUCUUUUCAGAUAGAGAAGGCGGGUUCUUCAGUCAAGGGGAGAACCGAGUGCCCAGCCAACAGCCAGCACCAACCACUGCACCUGGGACUGAGUCCAUCUUGCCGUUCCAGCUCUGUUGACCUCCCAGGGGACUGCAGCCACAGGAUUGAGCCCAGGAAGCUGCAGCAAAUGUCGCAAUUUGAGGGCACAAAAGAAGCGCGGUCCCCCUGACCACCGGUGGCUUUGACGCUGGUAAACUCCCAACAGGCC